rnacentral:lncRNA from 1 species
AUGCAAACUUACUGUAAAAUCCAUUACACAUUCAACUCUCUCCCUCUACCCCCACCCUCUCUAAUCUUUAUCUCUCUCUUUGUAUUGUUAUUCUCUAGUGCACCCAAGCCUGAUCUGCAGUUUGGAUGUAAUCCAAACAAGCUGAUGUCGUUUUGGCCAGUUAUUACUGCUGGUGGACGCCAGCAUAGACUCCAGUCUGAGCCCCGGGGAGCAAUCGAGAGGUCCAACCUAAACGUGUAACCUGAGCACAACUCCUCAAUAUUGUGCAAGGAUGUUGAAAGGAGGAGGGGGAAAGUGGAGGAUAUGUUGCACACACAGAGAAUUGGACAAACUUGGCAGAACUCCUGUGUGUAGUUGUGUGAUAGCGUGAGUAUUUUCAAAGCAGCCAACAUGUAAGAUGAGCGUGAAAUGAUACAUUUCCAAUCCAUACGACUGGCACUGACAACAUCUGUGACAGGCUCUCAGCUGCUGGCAGUUUGAAAGGUAAUUCAUUUAUCUGUGUAGAUUUCAAGAGGAAAAAUAUAUAUAAUAUGAUCAAAUGGGGAUAAGCACAGUCUUUAUGUGCUGUUUGUGCACACACAC